UGCACCCAUCACCAUGAUAUGUGAAUGCAUCAUGGACAGUGUUUGCUUAGUUGCAACAAUUACAGGGAUGCUUCCAGCAGCCAGGAAGGGACUCCUAUCUCAUUUGAAUUUUAAUGUUGCUGAGAAACAGAGAGAAUGACAUGGGAGUUUAUACCUACAAUUUAAAAAGAAAAAAAGUGCAUCACAAAUUUCUUUGCAUUUUCCUGAGGAUUACUUAAAAAUCUUAAUAACAAAACUUCUAAGAGAAGAAGGUGACAUUCUAUAUUUGAAAAUGGAUCAACACACCUUCUUGUGAGCAAUUUGGCGCUCCUUUACUCAUUCUGCAGGCACUGCCUUAUUCUUCACAUGGAUGACUCAUUCUCUUUCAGAACUGACAGGCCUAAAUGGGAUACAAGCAGCAACAAUGCUACGUUUAUCAAAUGUCAGCUUAUAAAGCAACAAAGCAGCAGUAAUAGUCUUACAUAGAGGGUUGGGAUGCUUGCUUCUGUGGGCUGUGCAGACAUACCCACAGAAACAGAGGGAGCCAGACCGGAACAGGAAGCGUGAGGCAGGAGAAAGCAAGGUCACAUAAGCUGGGAAAGGGACUCCAUGAGAAACAGACAACUCAGCAUGCAAUAGCCUGCAUGAGGCAGGGGACACAGAUGAUGCCUUAGGACUCCCAAGGGAAGGGUGAUCUAGAAAGUGGCAUUGCAGUUAAGAUAUUUGUUGUUUUAUAUGAUCUGUACUCUCCUGUGCUUUACGUGGUUAAGUUAAAGAGCAUUAAGGUGUUAAACUGUGGGCAAAGUGUCUCGAACAGUUCACAAUUGCUGCAUACAGAGAAAGUUAAAUUGUAACCCAGAAGCUUCACACCUUUCGGGUGGAGAUCUGGGAAGGGUAUGUUUUAACUGUGGGGGAGACUGAAGGGUCAGCCCUAUGCCCAGUGGGGAUAGGAGCUGGAUAGUGGGUUCCAGCUCAGAAGGGAGUGUAAGACUGCAGGCCUGCACUCUGUGCUUAGGGAACCCAAGAUUGGGGGAGUAACUGGACUUUGUUCAGGCUUGAGAAACUUAAAAGAGCUGGGAAUCCAGGGACACAGAGGCUUGAAUUUCCCUCAGAGCAGUCUGGUGGGUUGCCAGAAGGGAGCGCCCUGCCAGAUCUGUGAUAAAAAAUGACUACCAGCAGCACCCUAAAGUCCCCAGAAAGGAAUCACAAGCUGUUUGACUUUUCCCUACUUUCCCCAAAAAGGCUUGUAAAAUAUUGGGAGAAGAAGACUGAUGCGUAGCGGAAGAGAAUACGUGGGGCUUCCUUCAUCUGGAAAGUAGUGCUGUGCAGUGGAAGGGCCUUGGACUAGGAAUAAGAAGGCAUAGGUUCAAUUCUUGAUCUGUAACUGACCUGCGUGACUUUGGACAGGUCACUUCACCUUCCGUGGCUCUGUUUCCCCAGUGAAAAUGAUGAUUAUUUUUCCUUCUUUGUAAAUCACAGAGAUCUAUGGAAGUUAAGUGCUAUAUAAAAGCUAAGAAUUAUCUCCUUUCUCUGGAAUCCAUAUCAGAAUUUUUUCAAAAUUUAAUGAAAAGUUUCAUUUUAAUGUUGAAUGGAUGAAAGUGAAAGUUGGAAUAUGGCAUUCCAUAUUUUUGUUCAAGUUUGCCCACCCCUUAUUGAAAUCACAGAACAGUGAAUUUGAAAUAUAAUCUUCCAUGCUACUGCUUUUUCUGUUUUUUCUUUUUAUAAAGGGAAUGCUUGAGCAAACUUGGGGAAAUUCACUUAUAGUACUAACUCUAAUACUUUUCUCAUACCUAUUAGAUUUAAAAAUAACAUUCAUUUUCUUUCUGCUUAACAACAAGGAGAUCAAUUCUUUUCAAAGAACAGACAUGUUCAGUCUAUCAGUUUUAUCUAUAAUACUUUAAAAGCAGUUUAUAAUGUGCAUUCUGAUUUGGUUCUUAGUGUCAAACGAAGUGUCCAGAAAAUACCUUCUAUAAUAAAUGUAAAAAAUUAAACUGAGUACUAAAAUGUUAUGUGAACCUUUGACUCUGAGAAAAAUGCAGUCAAAAUGACUAAUACAUUGGGCUUUUGUAUUUGAAUUAUAUAACAAAUAAUCUGUGCCAGGAUGAGGGAGUGAUCUGCCCUUGCUAUGUUGUUUUGUUUUGCAAAGUGUAACUUUUAAAGAUUUAUUAGACAGUUUGUUUAAGCCAAUUGUAGGGGUUUUUUAAAAAGAUUUUGCAGCUUGCUUUGUUCUCAAAAGUAUCAGCAGUUAUAAAUAAAAAAUGUAUUC